rnacentral:lncRNA from 1 species
CCGGGCACCUGCUGCUGCAGCGCCGGGCCGCCCACGGGCGUGCGCGCGCGCGGGAGAUGCGGGAUGCUCGCGGCCGCCCUGCCCUCAGGUUCCCAGCAAAGCAGCGGCGAGAGGAUGGAGGUCUUCCUGCCAGUAAUCUGAGAUGAGGGAUAAUGAGGCGACCCCGAGGCCCGAGAGGAUUCCCCAGUCCCGGAAGCAAUCGCCAAGACUCCUUCCUUCCAGCCUUUGGCUCUUUGAUACCGGGCAGCUGCAAGUCCUCGACCGUGGUGGGGUAAAGUGAUGACAGAGAGGACUGUGAGUGUGUGUGUUUUGGUCCAUUUAGUGAAAAGUGGGUAGAUGGGGCAGGGUGAGAAGGAGAGCUAGAGCAAUAGAAGGAGAACGCCAGACUGGGUGAAAAGGGAAAGGGGAGGGGAGAGACAGAGAGACCUAGAGACAGAGAUAAGAGAACGCAGAGGGAGAGACUGCGCGCCCGCCGAGCGCCAACUCCAUCAGAAGGCGUGCCUGCGAGAGGAGCUGUGAACUCGAGAGAUGAACCAAGGUUUGUGGUCAGUUGAUGGAUGGCCUUAGCUGACAAUGUCCUUUGGACGUACCUGUGGCAUCUUCCACGGAGGUCUAGUUAUGGAGCAGCCGGCCAGCAGGAAGCUACCAGCUCACUGUCUAAGCACCACGAGUGAAGAAAGUCCUGGAUGGGGACUGGGAGGGAAUCGUCAGUCCCAGGACUUGCCUCUCUCUGUUCCAUUCUGUCAAAAUGUAGUGAAACAGUGGGGAUCCAUCUUCCACUCCACACAGCUGAGUAUCUUCCUUGAAGAUGAAAGAACAACACAUCUGGAUCCAUGAUGAACUCGUGAAGAAGAGCUGCAUGGCUCCCUGACACAGCGGGCAUUGACAUGAUAGAGAAAUAGACAUCUGUUUUUUCUCAAGCCACUGUGACUUGUGGUCUUCUUGUUUGUUUCUUAUCAUCCCUUAGCAAUUGAUAGGGAAUAUGAGAAUACCUCUUUCCUCACACUUUUGUCAGCAGGUAUUAAACCUUUUGAUCUUUGGUAGCUGUAGAUAAAAGUGGUAUCUUAAUGUCCUUCUUGUCUUCUUUUUUCUUAUAACAAAUGUGAUUAUUAAUAUUUUAUGUUAAUUAAAAGUGCAUCCUAUUUGCA